UUUAUUUUCGUUUAUGGGUUUAUAUUUUGAAUUCAGACAUUUUAACGAAAAAUACCUAACAAUAACAUGAUUGAAGUUGGUGCAUGUGCAGAUCCACGAGAAGGGUAAACCCUCGUCACUGCAUCAUAAAACUGUUGGAAUUAUUCCCAUUUUGCAAUUGGCAACCAUAGUAUGGAUCAUACGCAUAGAAAAUCAAAUCAAUAAAUACCCAGUGUCGAGGUAGUCUCGCAGCAAAUUGUACAUGUCCGUAACGAGCGUUUCGGGAGGAGGCUUUUUUUUGGUACGACAUAAAAGACAAACAUAAGACGUUAUUGUUAACAUAUAACUCAUCCAGUAUGAACAAUGAUUACGAAACUAAAGAAGACAGGGGAAUGUAGCGUACGCGCUGUAGAUCAAGGUAUGCAUAAAUUGUUUGCAGGAAGUGAAGUGUAAUACGGUUGAAAUCCGGAGCAAUAGGCCUGCACAAAAUCAAAUGCGUUAGAAAAUCAUUUUUGGCCAAACAAGAUUCCAUUGAUAUCAGUGAAAUCAUGCUCACCUGCAACUGAGCACGGUGAUUGUAGGGGUGUUCGAGUUCAUGUCUGGACGCCCGCUAACAUCCACAUAGUCUCCAACACUAGUUCACAUUCAGCGAAGCGUUUGUGAAUAUAUGAUAGUUCACACUAAAUGUGUUCAAGUGCCUAAUUUUUACUAAUGUUCCGUGUUUGUCGGGUCAUAUACAUGUGUAGCAAUGUUAAUCAUUUCGAGACGUACGGUAUGUUCAUGACGCGAUUGUCUCCACCGUGCCCAGCAAACCUGUGGAUAACACCAGAUCAGUAAUAUUAUGCGGACAACAAUUUUGAGCAAUGGGACAUAUGAAUCGUUUUACCACCUACCAGUAGGUGCAAACGAUCCUGCCGGUGCCAACUUCCAGGACAAAUCAAUAAGAGUUUCUAGUGGCAGAUGGUGUAAUUAGUCAUCCGACCAAGGUGACCUAUCAAUUUUAAUGACUUGGGUAUUGGUAAAUUUAUCUAGCGUUGCAAUAAAUAAUUCGGAAAUUUUGGGAACGGUGGAAUCACAGUGGACGGGCGAUAGCCAUUGAUAACCGGACAAUUGCCAUCAACUGUGCGUACAAAUGCGUCGCCUAACAUCUUGACGGUGACUGGCAGGAGCAUGUCGUCACGUGCGAGCUGAAAGAAUAUGCACAAUACGAUUAUAACCCGGCAACGCAAAACACGUAUGUACAUCAUGGUGAGUAGGAGCGUCCGGGCUGGGAGCUUGCAUGGCCCUGCGAGGCAGCCGUAGAACGAGAGAUAUAGGAGUUGCUCCCAGAUCCUACAUUCUGGCCUUGCGUGCUGCCCCGCGGUCCGGAUGAGGAGCGACGAGGUGCCGACAAGUCUAAAAACUAUGAAAGUGUUGUGGUGGCUGAGUACGACGCGAUGCGUGUGAUGUACAAAUGCAAUGGUCUCCCACAUCCAUUUUAAGGAGUUUCAGUGAGGGUGGUGGAGACACGGGGGCUCACGGGUGCAUGCAUGAAUCGGCGAGUGGAUUGUAAUGGGUCUUUUGUUUUUUAUUGCUUGGUGGGAGGUGCCAGCGGUGCGACUAACAUGCAUUGGCCGGCGGCGCGGCGCUGUUCUCUCGUGAGAACCAGCGAACUCAGGGACGCACUAGCUGAGACAAGGCACGGAGCGCGAUGUGGCAGCGAGGCCCGGCGUCACAGACCCAUGCCGCUUACCACUCUUUUCAGAGACGUCAGUAGCCAGAAAACGCCAUGAGUAUGUGAAUCACCUGUUGUGGGGCGUGGGAUAGCAACAUGAUUUUUACUGUAGUAAUAUGACUAGCUCAUGCAUAAUCAUAUGAUUGAUCCUCGUAUCAUCUUAGGUAUAACACAUGGUCACGCAAGCACUGACCUUUUUUGCGUGGUAGUGUAUGUAUCAAUUACGGAAGCAAAACCAGCCCGCUCAUAUUUCAAACAAACAUUUAAGUACGCAAGGUCUAUGCUGGAAUAUACAGAAGAAUCUAUACAGGCAUAGGGACUUGGCGUUGCAGGAAUCAUUGCAGGGUGAACCACGGGUGGUAGCACGCGGAGAUGCCCUUUGAUUUUCUGUGGCGGGAGUGCGGUAGUGUGAGUGAAGAGUGCGUAUACAAUCCACAAAUGAUCCAUCCUCCGUGUAAGACGCGCAGACAGAGGUGACGUUACGGUUGCCAAUUUUUUCAGAAACCGGCACGCGGGCAGGAUAAAGUAGAUUCCAUGCGUAACAAGACCAUGAAGGCGUGUGGGUCGAAGCCAAAGCUUUUGUCACGCUGGUUCGUACGUGUGUGCCAAAGUUGAAACAUAUAAUUAUUUAAUCAUUCCAUUUUUUUACAGCAUGUCUCAUGGAGGUGAAUACGUCGUGCGGGGCGUUGCAUCAAUGUCGGCCAGUCCACGGUAAAACAAUAGAGUAAACGGAUGCUUUAUCGAAAUGAUAGAAAGUCUCUCACCCGUGAGACAAGAUACCAUUCGCAAAAAGAAAAGACAUACCAUGCAUGUCUUCGGCGCGCACAACGCAUAUGCAAUCAUACACAUCCAAGCAGGCUAUAUAUAUCCAUACAAGCCAUAGAGUUAGAUAUAUUCAUCUAAUCUCGCACCGUCUGAUCGGCCUCUAUAGCUAUGUCAACAAGUUCGUCCGCUGGGUGGACGAACACGGGUGCCCCGUUGCCUCUGAUCAUGUGUCCGUUCCGUGGAAGAACGCAAGUUGAAUUGAUCGUUUCGACGAGGCCCGAGACCGAAGGGCAGCGAUUCUACAAGUGCCCAUACUACACGGUAAGCAUGUAUAUCCACUGCGAUCCGCGGUGCACCAAAUCCUGAGAGUGCUCACACGUCUUAGAUAGGAUGCUAUAAACAUUCAUUUUAUUGUUGCAUAAUUAGUUCCAUAAUGAUUCCCUCCUUGACCGAGUAGUAGUUUCGUUGUGAUACUGUAGGGGAGGCCGGGCGGAUGUGGUUUCUUCAAGUCAGAGAAGGUCUAUCUCAGUGCAUUCCUGAACCGCAACACGGAGGCAGGCUCGAUGGGCCGCGGCACUGGCCAGGCUGUAGCGGUGACGUCGCAAGCGGACAACCAACGUGAAGUUGAAGCCGCACGAGCAACGGUGGAGCUCAACCGUCAGUUAAGAGAAAUAGAAGGGAGCUUGCAGGCCAUCAAGAUGAUAUGCUGCUGCAUACUAAUGGCCGUUGCAGUGCUAGUGUUCGUCAAAUAAGUAGAUCGUAUGCAUAAUUUACCUAAUCGGUCAGACGAUCAUUAUGUGGUGGAUCCAUUUGGUGUGCUUGGGUAUAAAUCGUAUCAGGGUUAGUCGUUAGUGUGUGUGAGUAAAACGCGGUACAUCAACGCCUAUGAUCAUGUAGAACGCAUGUCACGAGGUGCGAAUGGUGUUUGAUAUGAUAUCGUGUUUUUAAAUAUGUAUCAUUUGAAAGUUAUCGUUUUUCCCGUUUUUCAUAUAACUACAUGACGUUUGAUUUACAAUUUUUAUGUAUUCUCAAACGGAUGGUUUGAUUUGACGUACAAACGCACCAAAAAAAGGCACGAUGACGGAGAUUAUCCACACAGGGCAAGCUUCGUCGUGUGUCCUCCAUCUGCCCCGUGGUGGAUGUCGGGUAUCAUUGUGGUGUAAUAGCCAUGAAGGGCUAUCACAAAUGUUCAACGUUGACACCCUAACAUAUAGCGAUGGAAUGCAUAUCAGUGUUUCGUGCAUUAUGUUACGUGAACUUUAUAUAAGACAUUUUCGGUAUGUCUUAUCGUACACGCAUUUUUUUGUGCGUCCAAAGAUGAUUCAACACGUACUACUAACCCAUCACCGCCUACCAUAAGAUUGAGGAUGCGCAUUUGUGCACCACCAACGUACUACUAUUCGAAAUGUCAUUGUGUAUUGUUAAUAGUCACCCCCAUGACCUCCUACCACAUAUAUGACUCGCACGGGUGAUGAUUUCAUUAGAUGCUGUCACCACACCCGGAUACCGAUCGGUCGAUUCAUCCAAGUGUUAUUGACGGGUCGGGGUGUCGGUGGGACUAAAUGUUGUUAAGCAAAAUAAGCACGCGUUGUCAAGAUCCGGGUGCAACACUACCAAUUAUUCUAGGCUGAAGGCCAAGCUGUCUUUUAAAUAUCGUUCAGGUAUGAACUUGUGUAUGCCUUAUGCAUAAUGCGGAAACACCAUCACGUACUCGGUAUUGAGAACUAAAUGAUCGGAAAAUUACAGGAAGGGCCGCACAUGCAAAAGUGACACAUUUGCCAAAAGUUCAUGGCACUGCUACAUUCCCUAUUGUGCUACCUGAUGAUGGCAACGAACAGAAUGCAGGUCUGUUAAUGCGACUUAGAUAUCGGCAUUAAUUAUUGAUUCAAACCCCAGACCAAAAUCUUAUAGAUAACCGAAAUUGUAUGAUGUUAUUUUGACAGAUCGUGCAAAUGAUCAGAAUGCCAGCAAUCCCACGGAUGAUGGCUCCCAAAAUGGUGGUAAAACACAAACUUCAGAUACCAAAACAUUCUGAUAAAGUAAUAUCUUGAUGCAACCGAGCAAUAACACAAGGCCAUCAAUUUUUCGCAGCUCUCAAUUAUAUGUUAAUGCGUAGGAGUCAGCCCACAAUCGAACAAUCAGCAGCAAAAAAUGAUCAACAUAUAGAUCGUGUGUCACAUACAGCCGAAGGUAAACAUAGUGCCCAACUUCAUUCUGGGACGAUAUGUUGAUAACUUGCCAUACUAAAUAGAACACCCUUCAUAUGUGCAUCUGAAUGGCGCAGAUGAUUUACCAACGGCGCCCCGUGUAGUAUGCGAGAAUGAAGCUGCGAAACUGGACCAUACUGGCUUUGAAGAGCCAAUGGUGCCUGCAAUGUCAGAAGACAUGCAUGGUAUGCAUAGUAAGCGAUGAUGCGUGUAACAGUUGAUUUAUGCAUUCAGUAUCACUAACCAUGUUGAUCAUAUUGAUAAGUUUAUCCUGAAAAUCCACAUGGCCAGACGAACACAUUCGAGAAGACGUUGCCCAAGAUGUAGCUGCACGCGAUGACACUCGUAGCGUCCAACCGGGACACGAAUCAGAUCACCACAAUGAAAAUGCACCUGCAGGGGAUUGCACAAAUAAUUUCGGCAAUGCUGAUGCGGUUCCUGUGAUACCAAAAAACAAUGGGGGGUCUGUAAAUCGUCCCCAUGACAAUACAUCUCGUAUGAAUGCUGCGGGCCACAUAUAUAUGAUGGAUACGAUAUAGGAGAUAUGCCCUAGAGGCAAUAAUAAAUGAUAUUAUUUAUCUCCGAGUUCAUAAUUAUGUUUAUGUUCCAUGCUAUAACUGCUAUGGUUCUCGAGUCUGCAAUAACCACGAGGCUCGGAGGAAGACUCAUAUGCACGUGUGGAAUAAUAAACAGUAAAAUGUAUUCCUAGUCUGGCCUCUAAGACUAGCUCAAGUGUUGCAUGAUGGUUAUGUUUUCCUGAUCAUGGGCAUGUCUAUGUCAGCAACCUUGAGGGCAUAAUGUUAAGAGAACAUUUGUGUUGAAUCGACCCGGCAUGAUGUUAUGCUAUGAGAUUCAUUCGUCACAAGUUUAUUGGUACAUAACAAAGAGAUGGUUAACGUUUGCAUGAUUCCUUAGACCAUGAGAGGAUCGAGUUUCUUCAUGCUUGCUUCAUGAACUUUGGGGUUUGUUAAACGUCAUCCGUAAAUGGGUGGCUAUUACGGCGGCUUACGGGUUCAUGGAAAAGUGUGUCAAGUAACUUGAUAGCUCAAGAUUGGGAUUUGCUCCUCUGACGAUGGAGAGAUAUCUCUGGGCCCUCUCGGUGUUACGGUAUCCAUCAUCGUCUGGCCAGACACUUUGUGAUUUGAUCACGGGGAUGCCGGAACACGAUAACGAGAAAAGAGAACAAUACCGGUAACGAGGUAACUAGCAUAGUGGACAAGUUGUUGAUCCACGGGAAUGCCAACAUGUCUCACCUCAGGUAUUUGUAACAUAUCGCGAAGCAACAGGGAUAGCACACGGCAACUGGAGGUUCACUCGAAUAUUUAUUCGUGUGGGUAUAGGGGUCAAUAUGGGUGUCCACGGCUCCGAUGUUGAUCAUUGAUCGGAAGGGGUUCCGGGUCAUGUCUAUACUUCACCGAACCUAUAGGGUCACACGCUUAAGGGUCAUCUAUCUGCUGAAUACUAGACAGGGAGUCUGAGAGAAAAUCACCGAAAAAAUUUCGGACACCGAAAAGUUUCGGACAGCGUAAUCGUACCGCAGAGAGAGGUCAUCGGAUAAGUUUCGAUGAUACCGAAAAGUUGUUUCGGGAUACACCAUUAAGUCAAAUUGGUUUCGGCACAUGCCUGAUAAUUCUUGGAGGAUGCCAGAAUCAUUCUGGAAGCUUUUUGGAAUUUUCUGAGAUAAAAACCGGAAAUGUUCCGGAGCUGCCGGAGCCACUUCAGAUGCGUUUCGCAGAUGAAAAUCACUAAAACCGGAAUUGUUUCGGAACGCGUUGAAAAUCAUUUUAGUGGGUACUGGAAAUGUUCUUAGCCCACAUAAAUAUUUUCAGUUCGAUCAGACGCUGAAAAAUGUCGUCGUGAAUAGUGAAAAUCAGCUUUAUGGUUACUUUAUGGAAAGCCACCUUUUGGGGCUUUGCUCCAAAAGAUCUUGGGGAUGACAUGGAUGGAUAGGAGCCAUUUUUUGGGCCCCUCAUGAGGGUGUGGCCGGCCACAUGGGGUAUCCCCCCUUGGGGACCCUCUUGUUCCUUGGUUUCACUCCUAGGUCCUUGUGGAAGGACUUCAUUCAUGUGCAUUUUGGGUUUUUUGUGAAACUACCCUACCCCCUUGGGAUUUCCUAUAAAUAGAGGUGGAGGGGCAGCCCUCCACACUCAUCCCUUCUCACAUACAUGCCAUUGCAAUGAUCUGGCUUCUUCUCUCCCUCCCACGAAAAGAGUUUCAUAGAGCCGUAAGGCUGUCUGGGUUCCGGCAGGAACUAGUUCUGGACGGCGAAGCCCUGCCGGAUAGAUGACACCGUAUGUGUGCAACUCUGUAGAGAGAUCGUAGUUUCGGUCUUAGUUCGUGAGUGCCUCCCGAAGGGCUGUCCGUGUGACCGUCCGAGUUUCGAAGGUCCUCCCGAAGGGCUGUCCGAGUGACCGUUCGAGUUUCGAAGGUCCUCCCGAAGGGCUGUCCGCGACACCGUCCGGGGGGCUGUUCGACCGCCUCCUGGAGGGCUGUCUGAGGAGCAGAUGAGGGUAUACAUCCUCGCGGUUGGGAGGUUGUAAAUCCUAGCUGCGGGGAUCUGCACCGCCGAUCGUCAUCGACUCUACUUUCCGCUGCGCUACGAGUCGGUAAAGAAAAAGAUCAAACCAUGUAUGCAGUCUCCAUAGUGGUCCUGGGCUGGUGCGUAGGUCGGAAAUUUUUUGUUUUCUGCUGCGUUCCCCUACAGUGGCAUCAAGAGCCGUGCUAUGCGUAGAUGCAGGUUUCGAUCUAGAAUACAUGGAGAUGUAUGGGAAUUGCAUAAUAUAAUUAGGUAGUAGAUGAGAUCUAUUGCUGAAAAUUAUUUAUGCGGGUGACAGAUGAAAUCUGUUACCCGAGGUUCUUGUUUCUUCCCUAGAAUUUGCGUUUGCUCAAUCUCGAGACAGCAUGAUGGAAUUUUACAAAGUUCUGGCAAUCCGUGAUCCUGAUUGAUCAUGGAAGUGCUAUCAGUUCUUUGGGUUCUGCCGUAGUCAAAAGAAAGAUGAAAUUCGCAGAUGAAAGGGCAUUGCAGAUAUGAUCUGCACGGGGGUCAUGCGUAUGACGAAGUUUAGUAUGGGGUUCGAGAUUUAAUUAUCCCGUGUUUCAUACACCCCGAGAUGUUAAUCUAGCAACCUGAAUAAUCAUACUUGAUGAUAAAACGUUGGUAGCUGCGGUUUAAAUCAAAACCUUAGAAGCCACGUAAAAUAAAAUUUUGCAUAAACCUAUUAGAGGCGUCUAACUUGGUUUUGCAGGAUGUGCAUGUGAUGUGGUAUAGCAGUGCUCAUACUAAUUCGAUUAUGUAUGAGAUGACUAUAUGAUGUAAUUUGAUUAACAUGACCUGCGUGUCAUGAUUCGGCAUGAUGGCUGGAGCCAUAUGAUUGCAUUUUAAUGACCUGCGUGUCAACCUUGUUAUAAUGCAUUAUUUUGUUAGCUAUAGAGAUAGCAAUAUUAUCUGGUGCAUCGACAAGGUGGUGGCAAUCUUCGUGAAGGUGACCACCGACGCGAAUGCCGAAGACGAAGAAAUGAAAUACUUCUCCGUCAGAAAGGGCUAUACCAUAUCAUGCUAUUAUGAAUUGCCUGAGAUGUUUAUCCCUUAUGAUGCACCCUUCUUGAUUGCGCGGUAGUCGCUUUUAUUAGGGUGAUCUCUCACUUAAAAUAUCAAGUAGUUAGUGUUCUCCCAAGUGUAGCACCGUCACGGCACCUAUCUUUUCGGGGUGCGCCAUGGAUGCAUGGGUACGAACGAUUAGAGAAGUGUGAGGCGGGUGAGGUCAGACCUCGCAGCAAGAUCACUUGGUUGUCUUGACGUUCAUGGCAGGAUCGUCCUGAGCUCGGAACACACGCAUCGAAAGAUGAGCAAGAGUCACAUAGAGAUGUGAUCGGCAAGUUGGCCUACCGAUUAAAAUUCCCGUUAUGAGAUGAUGAUUCUAUGGCGAUGAAUUGAAGUCUGGAUCUUGUAUCACUCAAAAUUAAUUGUGAGAGAUAUUGAUUUGAGUGGGAGCGCACUGUUGAAUUAACAUGUUUAAUUCUCAGUGCAAUUAAUUAUGAACACUGUCUAAGUGUUUCUUGCAAAAUAGUUGUAGAAUAAUGGCUCGCGUUUCCACCUUCCCUAUUAAAAUUGAAUAACUGUUAAAUAUCUGGUUAAAACUUUACGAUUGGUAACGUAAUAUGAGGAUUGUCCUCAAAAGUGCCGAGAAGGACUUUGUCCUAUCGCGUGCUUUCCGUAUCCUCCCGCUAAAGCUAUGGAUCAUGUGACUCUCGUCCUUCGAUCCAAAAGCUAUAAUUCCGUUUCAGUCAAGUGCAAUAUGUUUGCUUCCAUGAAACCCAAACUUCGAAAGUUGGGAUAGUUAUAUGAUAUUCAUGGAACUGAAAAUUAUUUUCAAAUACAAACAAAGCAAUGUUUGUUUGCAAGUAUUAAUAAAAGUGUUUACUAUGCAUUUGACUGUUGGGAAAGGGAUCCAGAAGAACGCCUGUCAUAUAAUGAAAGGUGAAUAAAACAACAACUUAAAGAGAAAGGAAGUGUCCAAAGGGUGUUAGUAUGACUUACACGCCUAGGAAGUCCGGGGCUAACGCCACUCUUAAGUUGGGUGCUUCUUUUGCGAGUAGGAGAAAUACUAAAAGUUAAACUGUUAGAAGUAAAAAGGCAGAAAGAAGGAUGACUGGAAUAUCCAGCUCAUGUAUGAAUGUCAUACAAGUUUUUGUUGUAUAGUAGGCUGGUCAAAGAUAUAGUUCUUGGGAAUUAUGGUUAAACAUGUUAAUCCCUAAUUCUUGGGUAUUGUGAGUUAAUCACAAAGAUACCCGCUCGAUUGCAUUCAAUUGCGAAUCACUGUAAGAGCUAUUGUGGCCUAAAAAGACUAGCCAGAAUUGAGGUUAAGGUAUACACAGGGAACAUAGUAAAUGUUACUAUACCUUCCAUCGGUGUAUUGCCGUCUGUAUUUAUUUUCAUAAUUCAUUUAGAGUUUUACAAACUCUAGCCCAUUGCAUAAGGUAUCUUGCAAGAAGGUUGUUCAUAAGAGAACCUUUUAUGUUCGAUGUUAUGAAUAACACAAGGGCGAUACUUUCAUUAUGAAUGAGAUGUAUGUUAUGAAUAUUGAUAAUAAUACAAUACCUCUGGGUUUACUUUCAUAAUUCAUUUUAGAGUUUCAUACACUCUAGCCCAUUGCACAAUGUUUGUUGCAAAAGAGUUGUUCAUAAAAACAACAAUUGUUGUUAAGUAUUAUGAAUAACAUGAAGGGCCAUGCUUCCAUCCAUGAUGGGACGUAUGUUAUGAAUAUUGAGGGCAAUAUGAUACAUCCAUAACACUGACGCUAAAUGUCGCAAGACUAAAAGAAUACCACACAAGUGUGGCACUACAUUUGGUCACAUUGGAGAAACCCGCAUGGAAAAUUCCAUUAUGAUGGAUUUUGAAGUCUUUUUGAUUUUGAAUCAUCUGACACUUGCAACUUUCCUCCGAAAUGUGAAGUGACUAAAAUACCGUUCAUAGGCAAUAAGGAACGAACAACAAACUUAUUAGUGAUCAUACAUUUGAUGUGUGUAGUCCGAUAAGUGUUGUUAGUGGUGGAUUUAUUUAUCUUCAGAAAUGACUCAAGUAGAUAUAUGGAUAUUUACUUGAUGAGACGGAAGUCUGGAUCUUCUGAAAUCAUUCGAAAGGUUUUCAAAAAUGAAGUAGAAGUUAUUGUAACAAGAAAAUUAUGUUUCUGCAAUUUGAUUGCACAAAGGAAUAUUUGAGUUACAUGUUUAGCGAAUGUCUGAUGAGUUGUGAAAGGGGUUUCAUAACUUGCACCUCCUGGAACACCACUGCAAGUGAAAAUUCCGUGGAGAUGUAAUCUAACCAUUUAUGACAUGGUAAGGUCAAAGAUGACAUAAAUAAAUUUGCCAUUAUCCUUUUUAAAGUGAUGCUUUAGAGACUGCGGCUUUUACACUGAAAAGAGCUACAUCGGGUCUGUUGAAAUGAAGCCAUGGUAUGGUACGCCCAACCAUGUUAUAUCUUUUCUUAACAUUUGGAAUAUGGGGCUUGUGUAAAAGGUUACAAACCUAUUCCAAAUCAGACAAGUGCUACUUUGUAGGUUAUACCAAAAUGUUGGGUAUUCCUCCCUCACUAUACCGAGGCAAAUAGUUUUGCUGCGAAACGGUGUGCUUUUAAAGAGAAUGGUUCUUUCAAAAAGGUGAGUGGGAGAAUAGUGCAACUCGACGAGAUAAACAGUAUCUAAGUCAUCCGAUCAAAGGAAAGAGACCUUGGAAGUAAUUCCAGAGUUUCCUACUGCGACUGAUACGGAAGUCUCUACAAUAAAAUGUAUGAACUUCGGUCGAACUUGCAGCUGAACCACGUAGGCAAGGCUCGUGGAAACCUCUCAGGUGCGCAAACGAGAUAUUGUUGUUAGACAACAUUAUACCUACGAUACACAAGGAAGCGUUGAUGGGCCCUGACUCCGGAAUUGGCUAAAUGCCAAUACAACCCAAGUUAGUUUCCAUAUAAGUGAUUCAAGAUUAAAACCUUGAUACACCUUCGGAAGACUUAGAGUCUAAAGAAUAUUUAUGGAACUUAAAACUGAUAUGGAUAAAAAUGUUUUAUCCAUAAAGCUCGACUUGUUGAAAUAACAAGUUCAAGAGUUGACUACGAUGAGGUUGUUUUCAUCGUAGCGAUGCUUAAAGUCGGUUCGGGUUGAACUAGCAAUUAAUACAUAUUUCAAUCAUGAGAUAUGAAACAUGGAUGAUAAAAGGAUUUCCAUCUGAUGGAAAUGAAAGCUAGGACUUGUAUAUGAUACAGUCCAAAGUAAUUUGUCGAUCCAGAGGAUGCUAGUAGGUAUGCAAACUUCAGAGUUCCAGCAAUGGACAGAAGAGAGCAAAAUGGAGUUGGAAUCUUCGUGUUUUGAUGAAAUGGUCAAAGGGGUUUUGACUUCAUCAAUGGGUAACGAAGAUGCUUGUAAUUCAAGAAAGUAAGUGGGAGCGUAAUAAUAUUUCUAAAAACCUUAUGUGCUUGGCACAUUGGUAAUUGGAAAUAAAUUUCUUGACACGAAUUAGGACUUCAUUUGAAAAUAGUUUUUCGAUGAAGUGCUUAGGCUAAAUAGCCUCAAUAUUAGGCAUGAUGAUCUAUGGAGAUAGAUUUACCUAAUGGGGCUAAGCAAUGAAUACAUAUUGACAAGAUGCUAAAACCUUUUAGCAUUUAAAAACGCCAAGGAGUGAUUCUUGCCAAAGUCACAUGGAAGGAGUUUUUGCAAGACUCGGUGUCCCAAAACACUGAUGAGUAAAAUACAUGAUGCAGAUUCCACACACUUUUGUGUUUGGAUUAAUCAUGUAUUCCAUGGUAUGUAAAACAACCAGAUAUGUCCGAUACUCCCAAGGUGUUGCGAGUAUGGAUACUAAAGUGAUCAAAGUACUGAUCGUGGGACAACAGUGAAAGAUGUCAUUGAGUACUAGAGUAAGUACUGAUGAUAUGUUUUCUUGCAAGCAGAGAUCAUGAAGAGUUCGUUGUAAAAUGUUACAUCGAUAGUCUUCAUCUUUUCACCGUGCGAUUUUCGAUUUAAGUUAAGGGUUUUGUGUAACACACAAUGUGGUGGCACAGUUAGUUGGAAUUUGUUCAAACUAGUUACUGUGGCGAAUUCUAUAACAAGGGCUAAGUAUGUUGACGCUUUAGAAGCGACAAAGAAGAUGUUGAAUCAUAUAGUUCAUUCAUGAACUUAGUAUAGUUCCAAGAUGGCUUUUGACAAUGGGACACUACUGCAGGUAGUUGCUCCAUAACUCAGUCUGAGGAAUCCAGGUUCGACCUGUGAUUCACAUACAUACAAAGCCAAGUCCACACAAAAUAUGAAUUUUGUGAAAACAUGAAAACGCGAGGACAUGCAAAGAUACACACGGAACUGAAGUCGUCAGAUCCGUUGGACAUCAGGCUAUACCACAAGCGAAGCAUAUUUACACCGGUGUUCCACAGGUGUGAAGUGCAUUAGCAUAAGCUAGAUUAUUGACUCUAGUGCAAGUGGGAGUCUAUAGGAGAUAUGCCCUAGAGGCAAUAAUAAAUGAUAUUAUUUAUCUCCGAGUUCAUAAUUAUGUUUAUGUUCCAUGCUAUAACUGCUAUGGUUCUCGAGUCUGCAAUAACCACGAGGCUCGGAGGAAGACUCAUAUGCACGUGUGGAAUAAUAAACAGUAAAAUGUAUUCCUAGUCUGGCCUCUAAGACUAGCUCAAGUGUUGCAUGAUGGUUAUGUUUUCCUGAUCAUGGGCAUGUCUAUGUCAGCAACCUUGAGGGCAUAAUGUUAAGAGAACAUUUGUGUUGAAUCGACCCGGCAUGAUGUUAUGCUAUGAGAUUCAUUCGUCACAAGUUUAUUGGUACAUAACAAAGAGAUGGUUAACGUUUGCAUGAUUCCUUAGACCAUGAGAGGAUCGAGUUUCUUCAUGCUUGCUUCAUGAACUUUGGGGUUUGUUAAACGUCAUCCGUAAAUGGGUGGCUAUUACGGCGGCUUACGGGUUCAUGGAAAAGUGUGUCAAGUAACUUGAUAGCUCAAGAUUGGGAUUUGCUCCUCUGACGAUGGAGAGAUAUCUCUGGGCCCUCUCGGUGUUACGGUAUCCAUCAUCGUCUGGCCAGACACUUUGUGAUUUGAUCACGGGGAUGCCGGAACACGAUAACGAGAAAAGAGAACAAUACCGGUAACGAGGUAACUAGCAUAGUGGACAAGUUGUUGAUCCACGGGAAUGCCAACAUGUCUCACCUCAGGUAUUUGUAACAUAUCGCGAAGCAACAGGGAUAGCACACGGCAACUGGAGGUUCACUCGAAUAUUUAUUCGUGUGGGUAUAGGGGUCAAUAUGGGUGUCCACGGCUCCGAUGUUGAUCAUUGAUCGGAAGGGGUUCCGGGUCAUGUCUAUACUUCACCGAACCUAUAGGGUCACACGCUUAAGGGUCAUCUAUCUGCUGAAUACUAGACAGGGAGUCUGAGAGAAAAUCACCGAAAAAAUUUCGGACACCGAAAAGUUUCGGACAGCGUAAUCGUACCGCAGAGAGAGGUCAUCGGAUAAGUUUCGAUGAUACCGAAAAGUUGUUUCGGGAUACACCAUUAAGUCAAAUUGGUUUCGGCACAUGCCUGAUAAUUCUUGGAGGAUGCCAGAAUCAUUCUGGAAGCUUUUUGGAAUUUUCUGAGAUAAAAACCGGAAAUGUUCCGGAGCUGCCGGAGCCACUUCAGAUGCGUUUCGCAGAUGAAAAUCACUAAAACCGGAAUUGUUUCGGAACGCGUUGAAAAUCAUUUUAGUGGGUACUGGAAAUGUUCUUAGCCCACAUAAAUAUUUUCAGUUCGAUCAGACGCUGAAAAAUGUCGUCGUGAAUAGUGAAAAUCAGCUUUAUGGUUACUUUAUGGAAAGCCACCUUUUGGGGCUUUGCUCCAAAAGAUCUUGGGGAUGACAUGGAUGGAUAGGAGCCAUUUAUUGGGCCCCUCAUGAGGGUGUGGCCGGCCACAUGGGGUAUCCCCCCUUGGGGACCCUCUUGUUCCUUGGUUUCACUCCUAGGUCCUUGUGGAAGGACUUCAUUCAUGUGCAUUUUGGGUUUUUUGUGAAACUACCCUACCCCCUUGGGAUUUCCUAUAAAUAGAGGUGGAGGGGCAGCCCUCCACACUCAUCCCUUCUCACAUACAUGCCAUUGCAAUGAUCUGGCUUCUUCUCUCCCUCCCACGAAAAGAGUUUCAUAGAGCCGUAAGGCUGUCUGGGUUCCGGCAGGAACUAGUUCUGGACGGCGAAGCCCUGCCGGAUAGAUGACACCGUAUGUGUGCAACUCUGUAGAGAGAUCAUAGUUUCGGUCUUAGUUCGUGAGUGCCUCCCGAAGGGCUGUCCGUGUGACCGUCCGAGUUUCGAAGGUCCUCCCGAAGGGCUGUCCGAGUGACCGUUCGAGUUUCGAAGGUCCUCCCGAAGGGCUGUCCGCGACACCGUCCGGGGGGCUGUUCGACCGCCUCCUGGAGGGCUGUCUGAGGAGCAGAUGAGGGUAUACAUCCUCGUGGUUGGGAGGUUGUAAAUCCUAGCUGCGGGGAUCUGCACCGCCGAUCGUCAUCGACUCUACUUUCCGCUGCGCUACGAGUCGGUAAAGAAAAAGAUCAAACCAUGUAUGCAGUCUCCAUAGUGGUCCUGGGCUGGUGCGUAGGUCGGAAAAUUUUUGUUUUCUGCUGCGUUCCCCUACAUACGAAUGAGCGUCCGGCUGAUAUCGCUGGUGGAGAAGAUGUCUCUUCACGUGGCGUCCCACCAGGCGUCCCCAACCCAAUGCCGGAUGGUGAGUCCCCAUUAAGUUUACUGUUAUGAAACAUAAAUGCCCCCCAUGCAUUAAUUAUAACAAUAUGGACCAUACCGAAAUAUAAUGGUUAAACGUAUGAUGUUAGGUCCAUCAAAGACGUGUAUAAAUAAAAAUCAAUUCAACUUACUCUUUAUUUAAUCAUUACAAGCAGUCAUACACAAACUUAUAGUUAGCAUGAAUUACCAUGUUUGUACACCCGUAAUAAUAUAUCAUAUCACAAGCGAUAGUCACCAUACUGUAAUGAUUUUCUACAAGCGUCUUGUUAUUUAAACUCACUUAAACAAUCCUUCAUCACCCCGUCCCAACAAUAUCCGGCCAAUAGGUCCGUGUUGCACCAGUUACACGGUUGUAUUUGUAUACAUUUUAUUAAUGGUCAUGAAUCUCUUUUACUCGACAUACAUACGCGCUCAACAUUCUAACCAUGGUGUCCAUAGCCGCCGAGAGGGGUAUAUAUCCACCUCCGGCUUUAAACCGCGGUGCGCCACCCAACAUUACGGUAACACACAGCAUCGACGAUGGUAAGAUCACAGAACAAAAAUCAAUCACUAGUCCACCCGCACAACACAACAGCAUCCCACCCCAUCCCCCUCCCGAUGCCAAACCAACAGCGAUUGACUAUCGGUGUGCUUGUGUUAUCUUUUCAGGUGCAUCAAAUGUGGGGGGAUCAUUGGCUAGGUCUGUAUCUGGAAACACCAACAUGGGUCCUGCCUCGGACAUUGGAAUUGAGGAGGUCGUGCCGGACAACACUCAACAUGUUGCAAACCAAAACAUUUUCAUGGUAGAUAACAGAGUACCCAUCAUUUGGCACAAUCUGAAGGAUUUAUGCCCGUAUGAACGGGCAAAUGUGUUGUUCCAAUAUCUGGUAAAACCAGGGUCCUUGACUGAUACGUCCAGGUGCGUAUACCUUAAGUGCUUGUGCAGUUGUAGACUGGAUCACAAAAUCAUAUCAUUUGCUAAUAAUCCUACAUUCAAUCGAUUGUGUCAGGUCUUAUAUUAGAAUUAUGUAUCCUGUAUCUGAGAUCAUUGCUAGGGAGCAUCUCAUAAAUGAGUUGACAGAGCAGUCGGAUGUGACUAAGAAAACUUUUGCUGCCAUAGCAUGCUUGUAUAACGAGCUUCAGGACAAGUCGGACCACCGAAAGAACAAUCCUGAUUGCCAGUGCAUGCAUUUUCUGCCACCUGAAUUCGUUGUAAGUGUAAUUCCAUGUGGCGUCCCAUAUAUAUAGAAAUAUAUGGUAGAUGAGGAUGCAAGCAACUGUAGGGUAACGUGACAGAAAACAAAAAAUUUCCGACCUACGCACCAGCCCAGGACCACUAUGGAGACUGCAUACAUGGUUUGAUCUUUUUCGUUACCGACUCAUAGCGCAGCGGGAAGUAGAGUCGAUGACGAUCGGCGGUGCAGAUCCCCGCAGCUAGAUUUACAACCUCCCAACCGCGAGGAUGUAUACCCUCAUCUGCUCCUCAGAUAGCCCUCCGGGAGGCGGUCGAACAACCCCCCGGACGGUGUCGCGGACAGCCCUUCGGGAGGACCUUCGAAACUCGAACGGUCACUCGUACAGCCCUUCGAGAGGACCUUCGAAACUCGGACGGUCACAUGGACAGCCCUUCGGGAGGCGCUCACGAACUAAGACCGAAACUAUGAUCUCUCUACAGAGUUGCACACAUACGGUGUCAUCUAUCCGGCAGGGCUUCGCCGUCCAGAACUAGUUCCUGCCGGAACCCAGACAGCCUUUCGCCUCUACGAAACUAUUUCGCGGGGAGGGAGAGAGAAGCCAGAUCAUUGCAUGGCACUUGUAUGUGAGAAGGGAUGAGGUUUGGGCUGCCCACUCCUCCUCUAUUUAUAGGAAAGCCAAGGGGUAGGGAUGGCUCACAAAAACCCAAAAUGCCCAUGCAAAUGUCACACAUGAAGGGCAUAAUGGGGAGUGAAGUGGAGCUCCAUGGAGCCCCACACAUGUGGCCGGCCAACCCCCUUGGGGGACCCCCAUGAGGAGCAUGCUUGGCCCCCAAGCCCUUCUAGAAGCCUUUUGGAGAUAUCCCAAAAGGUGACUCACCAUAAAAUAUCCCAAAAAGCACUUUCACUAUUCACGACGACAUUUUUCAGCGUCUGUUCGAACUGAAAAUAUUUAUGUGGGCUUAGAACAUUUCCAGUACCCACCAAAAUUAUUUUAAACGCGUUCCGAAGCAAUUCCGAUUUAGUGAUUUUCAUCUGCGAAAAGCAUCUGAAGUGGCUCCGGCAGCUCCGGAACAUUUCCGGUUUUUAUCUCAGAAAAUUCCAAAAAGCUUCCAGAAUGAUUCUGGCAUCCUCCAAGAAUUAUCAGGCAUGUGCCGAAACCAAUUUGACUUAAUGGUGUAUCCCGAAACAACUUUUCGGUAUCAUCGAAACUUAUCCGAUGACCUCUCUCUGCGGUACGAUUCCGCUGUCCGAAACUUUUUUGGUGAUUUUCUCUCUGACUCCCUGUCUAGUAUUCAGCAGAUAGAUGACCCUUAAGCGUGUGACCCUAUAGGUUCGGUGAAGUAUAGACAUGACCUGGAACCCCUUCCGAUCAAUGAUCAACAUCGGAGCCGUGGACACCCAUAUUGACCCCUAUACCCACAUGAAUGAAUAUUCGAGUGAACCUCCUGUUGCAGUGAGCUAUUCCUGUUGCUUCGCGAUAUGUCCCAAACACCCGAGGUGAGAUUUAUUGCAUGCCCAUGGACGAACAAUUUGUCCACCAUGCAAGUUACCUCGUUACCGGUUUUGUUCUCUUUUCUCGUUUCCGUGUUCCGGCAUCCCAGUGAUCAAAUCACACUGUGUCUGGCCAGACGAUGAUGGAUACCGUAAUACCGAGAGGGCCCGAGAAUAUCUCUCCAUCGCCGGAGGAGAAAAUCCCAAUCUUGAGCUAUCAAGUUACUUGACACACUUUUCCAUGAAACCGUAAGCCGCCGUAAUAGCCACCCAUUUACGGAUGACGUUUAACAAACCCCAAAGUUCAUGAAGCAAGCAUGAAGAAACUCGAUACUCUCAUGGUCCAAGGAAUCAUGCAAACGUUAACCAUCUCUGUGUUAUGUACCAUUAACUUGUGACGAAUGAAUCUCUUAGCAUAACAUCAUGCCGGGUCGAUUCAACACAAAUGUUCUCUUAACAUUGUGCCCUCAAAAUUGCUGGCAUAGACAUGCCCAUGAUCAGGAAAACAGAACCAUCAUGCAACACUUGAGCUAGUCUUAGAGGCCAGACUAGGAAUACUUCUUACCGUUUAUUAUUCCACACGUGCAUAUGAGUCUUCCUCCGAGCCUCGUAGAUAUUGCAGACUCGAGAAUCAUUGCAGUUAUAGCAUGGAACAUAAACAUAAUUAUGAACUCGGAGAUAAAUAAUAUCAUUUAUUAUUGCCUCUAGGGAAUAUCUCCUACAGCAACGUUCCGCUUCAUUCUGUUGAUUCUAAUGCUUCGUCUAAUAACGUACAUUAUUUUGUUUUGGUUCCCAAGAAAUCGCCAUAGAAGAGGAUGGAGGCAAUUUCCCGCUAUACUAUGUUAUGUCCAUGUUUAAUAUUGGUGGUGUGGAGACUCAUAACCCGCAGUUCUGUGAUAAGGUACUCACGAGUCAUUACAUCUAGUUAAUACAAAACUUUUUCUUAUGAUGGGAGGCAACUCUUAAACCCGGAAUGAUCGAUGUGAAUCAUGCAGUUCGUCGUACCGCACAAGGAGAAUGAUAUAUGGACGACAUAUGUUUAUGACACAAACUCAAAGAAGGCAUACAUGGUGGAUUGCACAACAAUAUCAUGCAGGACUAUGACUGAAAGGCACCAGGACAAGGCUGAAACCAUUCUGAAAUCGCUAUACUACUCUGUUGAGCUCCUAAGGGGAAAACCGGAAUGGGACGUUAAAGACUGGGAGUUCUUACCGGGAUGGCAUGGGAGAAAAGAGAUCAAACAGUACUAUCUACAACAUCAUAUGUUGUUUUCACAGAUCAAAUAUACAUGCUUUAAAUUUGUUGAUAUCUGAACUAAAUGCAUUUUUAUUCCACAGUGGAUACACUGGUUUGGAGGUGGCAUAUGCAUGCUGGCAUUUCGGUGACACCAGGGUCCCGAAACACGGAGACAAGGUAUAUUAGUGAACAAUCAUCCUCAUUAAGCCAAACCUUUACUUCCCAUGUCAUUGUUUGAUCCAACACUAUCUAUCUAACAUUGUGUCAUCGUGGUUUCACGCAGACUAUGAAGAGGUUCGUGAGAGCACUCGCAUACCUUCUGCUGACCAUGGAGUACAAUGAGAACAGGAUCGACGGGGCAAGCUUCACGGAGUGAUCUGUUAAGAAUGGAGGCCUCAGCAAUAUCCAUUAUCUAUAUUAUCUAUAUUAUGUGGUACCAUCGGUGAUCGACUUCAAGAUUGCACGUUGAUGUUGUUCAUCAUCAAGUCUUAGUUAUAUCGGUUAUGUCGGAUUAUGUACCGGAUGCCUUAUGAUGCACCGGCUUUGCGAUUUGGUCUAGUUUGGAACUUAUGCCUACGUCGUUAUCCAUGUAUUUGGUACUUAAGUAUGUCUGUCGGUACGAACAUCAAGUUAAUUAUGUGUUUCGAUCACACUGUUGGGGUAUUCUUGUUUCGAUCAUUAUGUGUUUUUUGUUCUCUCGAGAGAGUGUUAUCGACAAUUAAGUUUGUUGCACGUCUCCACGCUCUUGGUUUUAUUUUAAGAAAAACGUGGCUACAUGUGUAAAAUAUUUGGCUUAUUCUUAUUGUUGUUUCGAACAUGCAGUAAAACAUGCUGUAUGUAAAAUCUAACAUGAAUCAGCAGCCCAGUACUGGACGAAACAUAUGAACACAAAACGCAAAUCAUGUUGAAUCGGUAAAUAUUAAUAUUAGUAAAUGAAAAUAUCGUGGUAUAUGGUACCACCGACGGCAUACAUACCUCCUGUAAGCAUGGUCAUGUCUUCAACGAUCUAUAUCAUGGCAAUGCGCCGG
rnacentral:lncRNA from 1 species